CGGAUAGUAGUUCAGUUGGAAGAACAACCACUGCAAUAGCAGUAAUUGAGGGAGUCACAGGUUCGAGUCCUGUCUAUCCGA
rnacentral:tRNA from 1 species